rnacentral:lncRNA from 10 species
GAGAUCUGAUGAUUUUAUAAACGGGAGUUCCCGUAUACAAGCUCUCUUACCGGCCGCCACCUAAGAUGUAACUUUGCUCCUCACUCGCCUUCCUCCAUGAUUGUGAGGCCUCCCCAGCCAUGUGGAAGUGUGAGUCAAUUAAACCUCUUAACUUUAUAAAUUACCCAGUCUCAGAUAUGUCUUUAUUAGCAGCGUGAGAAUAGACUAAUACAGGCCUCAAUGUUUGAAUUUUGGGGGGAUGUAAUUCAGCCCAUAACAAUCCACAAUUGCAGAAUGUUGUAAUUUAGAGUGAGGUUAGCGGUGGAGAGACAUGAUUGCAGUUUCUUUUUGAAAGGAUCACCUUGUUUGCUGGAGAUCUGGGAGGCCGGUUAGAAUAAAAUGGGGCAAGGUAGUGACGGUGGUGGACCACAUAAUGUGUAGUAUCUAUUGUGCAGAUGAAUUUGAGCAUAAUCUGGAUGAAACAUUUGUCAUGCCCUUGAGCUCUUCAGUGAGCCUCUUAAUUCCUUUGUGUACUAACCUCUGAUAAGACUGCUGUGUCUUAAUCUGUUGUAAAAUGAGUAGGGAAUUUCAGAUUAAUAAAAAUUAAUAGUCAAAAUAUCAAAGCUUGCUAAUGAAACUUUAAAAUUUAGAAUAAAAUGUGUUGCUUUAUUCCUCAUAGGAUGACACUUUCAUUCACUGGCAAUCUAAUAAGUUAUCUUGAGUAGCUGAAAAAACAGGUUACAGAGUGCGUAACUGGGAAAUCUAUACGUGUGUAUUUUGACUGAAAAAUCUGCUUUUCUCCCAUCUUCAUGUGGCUGGCUUUUUGGGGGCAUUCAGGUCUCAGCUCAAAAUCUCCUCCCCUAAGAGGCCAUUCUUGACCACUCAAUCUAAGUUAUUUCCUGCUGUUACUUUCCAUCCCAUCACUCUGCUCUGUUUUCUGUCUAACACUUUUAUUCUGAUAUUUUCUUGUUUGUUGUUCAUUGUCUGCCUGCCCCUCCCAGAAUCAGCAUUAGAGGAAAGCAAGAUCUCUGUCUUGUUCACCACUGUGUUCCCAGCGUCUAGAACAGUGCCUUGUGCAUAGUAAAAAUUCAAUAAAUAUUUGUAGAAUGAAUGAAAGAAUAAAAGAAAAAAUGCAGAAACCCAGUCAUGUAGCUAACCAAGACUUAGAAACCGUGUAAGGGGAAAGAAAUCCCUUCUGUGUAGUACAAUGUUGAAGGUUGACAGGGACCACACAGUAGAAAAAGGGCUGGGCAGAUUUCAGGGCUAGAAGGUUUGUAUUUUUGAUAGUUUAUGCGCAGAUCUGGGAGUCCAGAGAUUGGGGGUUUACAUCUGCUCUAUCUCCGACUCACCGAGUGACUACGGUACAAAUCAUUAACUUCCGCAAGCAUUAGUUUCUCCAUCUGUGCGGUGUUACCAGCUAGUUUAAACAUUUAGAAACCUUCAUUGGCAAAUAUGACUCUAUUUAUGCUUUUUCUUUUGGGAGAUUGAGUGCUUUGUGGGAGCGAGCCCUGCUUUUCCCUUUGGUUUCUGAACUGCAUCUCCUUGGCAGGCAAGUGAUUAAUUCCCCUGGAUUCCUCUUUUGCUCCCUUUCCCAGCCUCUCCCAGAUAGUGUCCGCAUGCAGUGAUCACCUUGAGACAUGCUUUGGAUUGUCAUUCUUUGCCUUCAUUCCUUUUUACUUGCCAUCUGAGCUAGAUGAAUCCACCAGCUUUCCACCACGCAGUUGCUUAAGCCUGUGUCAGUACCAGAGGGAGGCAUAUAGCUUUUCCUCCUCUCCCACUUGAUAGUACUCAGACUUUAGGUCUUUUUCCCAGAUCCAAGAUGCUCCUCAUGCAACUCCAAUUUUCCUUCCCUGCCAACCAGAUCUACUCUGCCAGGAGGAGGCCUUGGCCCUGUGAACAGAUGUUGGAUAACUUUCUUCUUGACGUGACUGCAUUUUCACCCCUUAAAAGUCAACCUUCCUUUUAGGUUUGGCUCUGGGCUCUGUCCUCUAGCCCUGCCUGACUCUGAAGCUAGAGGGAUAUUGGGCAUGACAGUUAAGAACUUACGCUUUGGACUCAGCCAGACUUGGGUUAAAAUCCUAGGUACACUACUAACUCUGUGACCUUGGGAAAGUUACUCAACCUCUCUGAGUCUCAAUUUCCUCAUCUGUAAAACAAAGAUCAGGAGGGGUUGUAAGAAUUAAAUGAUAUGAUAUGGGCCAACAAUUCGGCACAGAGCCUGGCAUGCAAGUCUGGUAGUUGCUAUUAUCAAUUACUCGUGCCUUCUUCAUCAAGUCAGGAAAAUCCACCUGAUAACAUUCCAUGCUUACUCUUCUUGGUUCCAGGGGUUGUUAUUGAGGGCUUAACAUUUUGGUUUAAAAAAUUAAUCUCCACCAUCCUGAGACCUCUAAAUUGGUACCAUUAGAUAAUCAAACAGUUUCACCUUAGGUAUAUAAUCUACUCAUCAUCUUGCCUUUGACAGCUAGUGUUGUUGAGGUACUUUGGCUGAUGCUUAGAAAUGCAGUCCUGGAAAAAGAAAGUGUGCUAUCUAAUGCAGUGCCUACACAGGCAAAAUCAAAGAUAAAUUGAUGUAAUUUCCUGGAGAAUGAGGACCAUAAAGGCAGCUGAUCUGGACAAUUCCAAUUGGAUUAUAAUAUUAAAGCAAUGAAAGGGGUCAGAAUCUAUUGGUGUUAAGAAGUCAGCCUCAGCACUAAGAGAAAGAAGGAAAGAAUGAAGGAAAGAAAGAAAGAACAAUGAAAGCAUUGUAAGAAAUAUUUAUACAGCAAAUGUUACAGAGAAAACCCCAAACCAAAAUGUAUUUCAAAAAAUGUUGGAGGAAAUGUUAUAUCUUUUUAUGUGCUUAAGAAAACAGUUAAAAAGAACUUCACAGCAUUGGGUCUAUUAAGCACAUUUAUUCCAGUGAUUUCCCAGAUAUUUCCAAGUUCCAUUUAAAACAGAAGUCUCCUAUCAAGGAAUCCUUUGAAAUUAUUUACUCUUUUAUGGUUGUAAAGUAUGGAAAUGUAAUGCUUUUAAUGGAAACCCUAAUAAACGGCACAUGCUACAA